rnacentral:rRNA from 1 species
UACGGAGGGUGCAAGCGUUAUCCGGAUUCACUGGGUUUAAAGGGUGCGUAGGUGGGCAAGUAAGUCAGUGGUGAAAUCUCCGGGCUUAACCCGGAAACUGCCAUUGAUACUAUUUGUCUUGAAUACUGUGGAGGUCAGCGGAAUAUGUCAUGUAGCGGUGAAAUGCUUAGAUAUGACAUAGAACACCCAUUGCGAAGGCAGCUUACUACGGAUACAUUGACACUGAGGCACGAAAGCGUGGGGAUCAAACAGG